UCAUGAGCUAAUGUUCACAUGUAAACAGCAGCUCGUGUAGUGUAGAUGUCCAGUCAACAAGGAUGUAGCGAGGUUGACUGUCCAGGCGACACACGUACUUAGGUAUCGUCAUGAGCUAAUGUUCACAUGUAAACAGCAGCUCAUGUAGUGUAGAUGUCCAGUCAACAAGGAUGUAGCGAGAUUGACUGUCCAGGCGACACACG